ACUUUAUGGGCAUGUGUAGGCUCAUUCCUGUUUAUUUACAGAUGUAGUAUAACAAGAAUCAGGACAUGAUUCACCACCAGUGGAAUCCAAUACAUAGGGGAUACAAGUAGAGAAUAAGUGAGAUUUGAGCCAUUAUACUCACACAGACAUAAUAGCUAAAAUUAACACACAUGUGUAAGAACAUCUUUCUUUUUCAUUGUGGUAUAGUGUAUGUUGAUAAGAAGCUAAGUGUACUUGAUAGGUAAGUACGUGGAGGAGGUUUUGCCUUUUACAUGUAUAUUUGUAAGGAAUAU
rnacentral:lncRNA from 1 species